rnacentral:rRNA from 1 species
GGAAUCUUCGGAUUCUAGUGGCGGACGGGUGAGUAACGCGUAAGAAUCUAACUUCAGGACGGGGACAACAGUUGGAAACGACUGCUAAUACCCGAUGUGCCAAAAGGUGAAACCUAAUUGGCCUGAAGAAGAGCUUGCGUCUGAUUAGCUAGUUGGUGGGGUAAAGGCCUACCAAGGCGACGAUCAGUAGCUGGUCUGAGAGGAUGAGCAGCCACACUGGGACUGAGACACGGCCCAGACUCCUACGGGAGGCAGCAGUGGGGAAUUUUCCGCAAUGGGCGAAAGCCUGACGGAGCAACGCCGCGUGAGGGAGGAAGGUCUUUGGAUUGUAAACCUCUUUUCUCAAGGAAGAAGUUCUGACGGUACUUGAGGAAUCAGCCUCGGCUAACUCCGUGCCAGCAGCCGCGGUAAUACGGGGGAGGCAAGCGUUAUCCGGAAUUAUUGGGCGUAAAGCGUCCGCAGGUGGUCAGCCAAGUCUGCCGUCAAAUCAGGUUGCUUAACGACCUAAAGGCGGUGGAAACUGGCAGACUAGAGAGCAGUAGGGGUAGCAGGAAUUCCCAGUGUAGCGGUGAAAUGCGUAGAGAUUGGGAAGAACAUCGGUGGCGAAAGCGUGCUACUGGGCUGUAUCUGACACUCAGGGACGAAAGCUAGGGGAGCGAAAGGGAUUAGAUACCCCUGUAGUCCUAGCCGUAAACGAUGGAUACUAGGCGUGGCUUGUAUCGACCCGAGCCGUGCCGAAGCUAACGCGUUAAGUAUCCCGCCUGGGGAGUACGCACGCAAGUGUGAAACUCAAAGGAAUUGACGGGGGCCCGCACAAGCGGUGGAGUAUGUGGUUUAAUUCGAUGCAACGCGAANAACCUUAUCAAGACUUGACAUGUCGCGAACCCUG